rnacentral:sRNA from 1 species
UGUCAUCGUUGGAUGAGCUUUCUUUCAA